rnacentral:rRNA from 1 species
GAUGAACGCUGGCGGCGUGCCUAAUACAUGCAAGUCGAGCGAACAGACGAGGAGCUUGCUCCUCUGACGUUAGCGGCGGACGGGUGAGUAACACGUGGAUAACCUACCUAUAAGACUGGGAUAACUUCGGGAAACCGGAGCUAAUACCGGAUAAUAUAUUGAACCGCAUGGUUCAAUAGUGAAGGACGGUUUUGCUGUCACUUAUAGAUGGAUCCGCGCCGCAUUAGCUAGUUGGUAAGGUAACGGCUUACCAAGGCAACGAUGCGUAGCCGACCUGAGAGGAUGAUCGGCCACACUGGAACUGAGACACGGUCCAGACUCCUACGGGAGGCAGCAGUAGGGAAUCUUCCGCAAUGGGCGAAAGCUUGACGGAGCAACGCCGCGUGAGUGAUGAAGGUCUUCGGAUCGUAAAGCUCUGUUAUUAGGGAAGAACAAAUGUGUAAGUAACUAUGCACGUCUUGACGGUACCUAAUCAGAAAGCCACGGCUAACUACGUG